AUGCCUCUUUCAGCAGUGCCUUUUCCUACUGUUGCCUCUACUACUCCUACUAUUCAAUCUAACUCUUUCUCGUCUGGCUCAAAUUCCUCUACAUCCUCCCAUCAGUCAACCACUUCUGCUAAUAAGCAUACUACCCCUUUUCACACUUCACUUGCUUCUGCUCAUAAUCCCACUACUUAUGUGUACACUCCCAGCAUUUCCUCUCCCAAAUCUUCUCCUUCUCAGUCAGAGGCUUCCUCUUCAUCUUUUGAGCCUUAA